GAGAAAUGAUGAAUACAUUUUGGUCCGUGUUUCUGAAUUUACCGUGACCGAUACCAUUAAACCAUUUCUGAUCUC
rfam:Beta vulgaris subsp. vulgaris Bvchr5.sca007.con0095.1, whole genome shotgun sequence.